rnacentral:lncRNA from 10 species
GUCUUUUUCUUUCCCGGUGCAUAACUGGACAAAAUUGAAUGUCACCAUGGCCUUACUUGGAAGAUCAUAUGUGAGGAUGAUGGUCAUUUAACAGGUGGCAGCAAUGUGGGUAGAGGAAGACUCAACUCCUUCCUACAACACAGGGCAGAAAUUAAUACUUAUAAAGGUAAACUUGACUUAAAAAAGAAAAUAUUAUGGUGAAUCUACUCUGAUUAUGAAGAAUGGAGAAAUGUGGUAUAUGUUUCAGACCAGAUAGAUUUCUAUCAGAAGUAUUUUUAAAAAUAUUUACGUUAGGGUGCUUAAAUAUAUAACCUUCUAUGAUCUAGAACACUGACAAAUAUGUAUAACCCUUCUCCAGCAAUCCUGAAUAGUGUAUAUAGUACACAACUGCCCCAUUUUAGUAUUGCAUUGCAAAAGAACAAACACAACAUUUUUAAAUACUUUUAGUUCACAUUUUUUAAUGUUUAAAAACUAUGUUAACAGAGCAGUUAUAGAACAGAACUUCUUAUAUUUCUUUAUUUACACCACACUCUGAAAAAAAAAACCCAGUUCUAUUUGAUUAACUAUGAAUAGCAAAGUUUUGUGACUUGUGACUCACUUAAAUCACCCAUCUGAAAUUCAUUUACAAGGUUUUUACAUUAAUAAAACAGUAGUGUGGUACAUGUAUUGGACUCAGAUGAAGUCUAAAGUACACUGGACUCUAGAGAGUGGAUUACAUACCAACGACCAAGAUUCAAGUGUUUGGGGAAAAAAAUACCUUAGACAGUCUAUGUUGGCGUCAACACUAAAAUAAAAGGCAAACAUGCAGGACUUUCAAAGCUUGAUUAGAUAAUGGUUCUUUGUUUUCUUUCCUUCAAAUUUGUGCUCAUAAUUAAUAUUCAGGUUCCCUCUCCCCGCUUUCAUAGAUCCCAAAGUUUGAGAAAUGCAGCAAUUCAAUUGUGAAAAAAACAUUCUUCUCCCCAGCUUCUGUUUUCAUAUGUACUGUGUAGUGGUAUCAGUGUUAAAAAUGGAAGAUCAUUAUGAAGAAACAAUUUGUCAUUUGGGUAUAUCUGUUUCUAUAGGACAAGGAUUUGUGUCUAAAUAUUCCUUACUUGUAUCUCAGAGGACUAUCUGUUAAAUAAUUGAUCUUAAUGCCAGCAUAAGAAAUCAAGGGAACUAUUUCUCAGACAUUUCUUUCUCUAAAUUAAGUAGGGUUUCAGGUUCCAAGUUUACAUUGAGAGAACUAUGUUACCUGGGAGAGAAUGUAAAUUUUUCUAAUUCCCAAACAAAACCACUAAUUUCUAGGAAACAUUUAUUGUUUAUAUGCAGAUCCUAGAGACUUCUAUUUCAGUGCAGAUCAACAACUUCAAAAAUAUACAGCCUCCUAUUUAUUUACAAUAAUCAAAAUAGGCAAAUUAUUU